AAGCGCCUACCCAAGCUGGUUCUCCGAGCCUCUUGAGUCUCUUUGCACCAGGCCUGCGCUCCUCUACAGAUCCCGCAGAUCACGGGCACGCAUUCGCCACCCACCGAACAUCGGCUUGAGGUUAGCAUCAGAGGACAUAUUUACUCUGAACAUGAUAUGUUCAGCUUGGUUUUCUGGAUUCUGGAGGUUGAUGUCAAGAAUGGCAAAUCUACCUAAAACCAGCACUGACCCAGGAAUGAGGAGACCUGGAUUCUAGUCUCACAUCAUGUCCCUCUGAGUUUUAUAAUUCUGGGUAAGUCACUUAACUUCCAUGGCCCUCAGGUUUCUUAUUUUUUGAAACUGUACCAGUUGAGUAGGCUUUUUCCAGGUCUCUCUUUCUGUUUCUUCGACUGUUCUUGCAUGCUAAAAUAUAAACAUAUUUGUUAACUGAUAACAGCUUAAAAGGCAUCUGUCUUCAGGGUCAUUUGUAUUGUAAUAGUAUUCAAAACCUUUCAGAAAAGUUCUAACA
rnacentral:lncRNA from 1 species